rnacentral:rRNA from 1 species
GAUGAACGCUGGCGGCGUGCUUAAUACAUGCAAGUCGAGCGAACAGACGAGGAGCUUGUUCCUUCGACGUUAGCGGCGGACGUGUGAGUAACACGUAUAUAAUCUACCUAUAUUACUGGGAUAACUUCGGGAAACCGGAGCUAAUACCGGAUAAUAUUUCGAACCGCAUUGGUCGAUAGUGAAAGAUGGCGUUUCUAUCUCGUAUCGAUGGACCUGCGCCGUAUUGGCUAGUUGGUAAGGUAACGGCUUAGCAAGGCAACGAUACGUAGCCGACGUGAGAGAGGGGUAGGCGACCCUGGAACGGAGACAGGGUCCAGAGGCCUAAGGGAGGCCGCAGUCGGGAAUCUGACGCAACGGGGGAGAGCAUGACGGAAUAACGGGGAGUGAGUGAUAGAGGCCUUCGGAGCGUAAUACUCGGUUAUUAGUGGAAAACCAAUGUGUAAGUAACUGUGCACGUAGUGACGGUAAUUAAUAAGGAAGCAACGGCUAACUACGUG